rnacentral:rRNA from 1 species
GACGAACGCUGGCGGCGUGCUUAACACAUGCAAGUCGAACGGAAAGGCCCUGCUUUUGUGGGGUGCUCGAGUGGCGAACGGGUGAGUAACACGUGAGUAACCUGCCCUUGACUUUGGGAUAACUUCAGGAAACUGGGGCUAAUACCGGAUAGGAGCUCCUGCUGCAUGGUGGGGGUUGGAAAGUUUCGGCGGUUGGGGAUGGACUCGCGGCUUAUCAGCUUGUUGGUGGGGUAGUGGCUUACCAAGGCUUUGACGGGUAGCCGGCCUGGGAGGGUGACCGGCCACAUUGGGACUGAGAUACGGCCCAGACUCCUACGGGAGGCAGCAGUGGGGAAUAUUGUACAAUGGGAGGAAGCCUGAUGCAGCAACGCCGCGUGCGGGAUGACGGCCUUCGGGUUGUGAACCGCUUUCGCCUGUGACGAAGCGUGAGUGACGGUAAUGGGUAAAGAAGCACCGGCUAACUACGUG